CUCCUUCCUCUUUCUCCUUCUUCCUCUUUUCCUCCUCCUCUUCUUCCUGUUUUUUUCCCCUUCAGGUGUGUUGAACAGACCAGGGCUGGCCCAGCAUCGGGUAGGAAGGUGUGUCUCUACAAAUGCAACACUACGUUUUUAGGGUCAAGAGGUGGAGUCUGGAGUCAAAUAGACUCAGCACUAGGAUGCGAAUUCCUAACUGUGCCUUGUAGCACAUGAGAAUGCUCACCUUCUGGGGCUCUUAAAAGGACGAGAGGCACUGCAUGUGAAACCCCUAGGCCACAAUGAGUACUUGGUAAUGACUCCUUUCUUUGCCACAGUGACUGUGGGGAACUUGGUGAAUGGGCUUAGACUGUUAUGAUAGUGGGUGAAAUAUUAAGCAAGCAAUUGCUGUAUCCUAGGUGCCCUCCUAUUAUAGGUGGUUACCCAGGUCAUAGUGUUCCAAUGAAUGAUGGUAAAAAUGUGAACUGUUAUGCUCAUAAAUAAAGCAGAGGGAGUGACCAAGGUGUCAAGGAGCAGCACAUAAAGUGAAAGACAGAAGAAAAGGUCACUUGGACACCCCCUCUUUGGUCCAAUAACUAGUAAAGUAAAGAAUGAGAACUCUGGGUAGUCAUUCAUUCAUUCAUUCAUUCAUCAUGGAGCAACACACAGUUAACCUAUGACAUCCAGUUACUUUCUUAGCAACUACAAAGCUCAAUGUAGAUGAGAGUCCUUCCUUCCACAUAGGCAGCAUUCUGGUGGAGGCAAUAAACAGACAAGGAAAUAGACACCACAGUGUCAGGUGGUGAUAAGACAUAAAAACGACAAUAAGUGAGGGUAAGGGGAUAGCAGGAUUGGCGGUGGUUGUUUCUGAUAGUGACACUGUCUCCCAUGAAGAACACACUUGAGUAGAGAGCCAAAUGGGAAGGGGGGUGGCCAUAUGAAUACUAUGAGGUGGAGGGAAGUGCAAGUUUGAAGUCCUUACGGUAGUACAAGAUAAGCUGUGCUGGGUCUGCAGUGUGGUAACCACCACAGCUAGGGAGCCAUGUUCUGCUUCUCCUCAGAUGCAGAGAAUGACUUGUCUGAGAGUGUGAGAAAUGAGACCCAUACAGAGCCAUGGCUUUGGACAGUCUGUGGCUGUUACUGCCAGAUGCCCAAGCUGGAACCCAUUAUCAGCCUCAGAGGAGUGGGACAAUGUCCUCUCUCCCCACUCCUCUUCACUAACCUAUCUCGGAUCAUCAGAUACUAUUAUUAUUUUUUUUCUUAGUUGUUCUUAAGAACAUUGGUAUUUCUUAGCAGUAUUGUCUGUGAAGACAGGGACAACAUCUGAUUUACAGAAUUCCCACGGGAAAUUACCGUGUAACACAGCUGGGAUGCAAGGAAACCAAACAAGUGUUUAUUGCCAAUAAGCACAAGUUUACUAUCUGCCCAAUAAAACGGCCAACCAUUUUAAUUAUUUGACAUUUUAGCUUGUUCAAACUUUCAGUUACCUCAGGUCACAGGUUUGUGAAAACAACAAGGAAGCCUUUUGUUAUUUCUCCUGUCCUUUACACUGCCAUUAACACUGUUUUCUCUAACACUGGUUGACUCUCACAGGUCUGUGGGACAAUAGGAAAAGCCCUGGUAGGGGGAGCUCUUUCUAAGAUGCAUAAACAAUGUCACCUUGUAACCUUACCCCAAGAAACCCAGGCUCCUCAUCUGAAAGUUCCAGAAGUCAUUCCCAUAUUUUAGAAACUCCUACCAUAAAGUGUUAGGAAGACUCAAUGACAGUUUGUAAACUGUGGAGGACCCAGGUCCCAUCCACAACACUGCAGGUAGAUAAUAAACAAACAAACAAAUAACUAUUAUAGGCAUUAUACGAGGCACCUUCACAGCAGCUGCCUCCCUAUCAAUGUGAACUACUCCUUGCUCAAGUUUUCCGACUGUUAAUUCUUUCCGUUUUGUUUACCUGUUUGUUUUGAGACAGAGUUUCACUACAAUGCCUCAGACUCUCAAAUCUUCUCGUCAGCAGUCUGUUUCAUUGCUCAUGAAAUAAUUUCAGCUCAGUGUACUUAGUGGGAGGUGGGGGUGAGGAAUAGGGACCCAAACGGCCUUGGUCUGCUGGAUGGAAAUAUGCACAGAUAAUGUUGUCAUUCUAUUGAGCAAAGUGCCACAAGAUAUGUAGAAAGGGGGCACUCAGAAGUGACGGAGAAGAUUAGAUCUCUUACGAUGACUACCCUGACUACUGGGUAGUUGACCAUUCAGAGUGUGUGCUCUCACGUUCCCAAUGCAAGUCUGGUCAAAGUUGGCAGAAUGGCCAGGGUAUGUUUUUACCCAGUAGGGAAGUGUACCCCAUCCUGAAGGACCAAGAGGAAGAUGGGGAAAAGUUGGGUCAGAGCUUAGAGAAAAAAAUGAACUUGGCUUGGCAGAGGCUGGUCUUGUACCAGACCCCUUGGGGUUUUCCACCAGGGCCUAACUAUGAUACUGUGCUUAGCAUAAGCCCUGGCAGGAGGCUUGGGCUCAGCAGGGCUGAAAGGAGCCUGGAUCCUGUCAUUAAGAUCACCCAGCCAGGCUCACUCUGCCCUUUGUCAGGGCCCAGGAGGCUCCAUAUCGUUACCCCAGUGCAUUCUGCUUCCCUCCGGCCUCAUUACGCAGUACAUUAGCUGUGGGAACGAAACCCAUUACAAAAAAGAGGGGGUGGAAUUGGCACACGGGGAAAGAGGCCUUCUCAGAUCAAGCUAACAACUUGUGCCUAUUAACUAAAGAAGAUCAUUAGAAAACUCCCAUCUCCUCUCCCCCUGCCUCACCCCUUCCCCCAUCACUUGCCAUGUCAGAUAGACAGAGUAGGGCUCACGUGAAUUGCUUGUUUCUUGCAUGCCCCACAACCCUAAGGGGCCUGGCUCGGGGCUUUGUGGGGCUUGGGGUGGAGGGACUUGCUUGGUUGUUGGGCCAUCCCUUAUUUUUUAAAAUUAUUUUAUCUGUUUUGCAGUGUUGAGGCUAGAACCCAGGAUCUCACACAGCUAGAAUAACAAUAGACACAAGAAGGCUGGGCUUGUCGGUUCACACCUGGAACCGCAGAGGAGCAGAUCGAGAAACGGAACAGCAAAGACCGGAGUUUUAGAAAAUGAAAAGACUGCAGCUUGUGUCUAGUUGGCCCUAACAAGACAGCUGUGAUGUCAGGCUGCUAAGAGUGGAAGAGUCCUGGCAAAGACAAAAUGGAAUAGUCCACGAGAAGCAUUCUCUCAGCACAGCGGCAAUCAGGCUUCAUAAGAGAAAAAGCAGCAAGGGUUUCUAGGUACAGGCCAUGAGACGAGGGUGUGAGAUUCCUGGCUUCUGACGUUUCCUGUGCUCCUUCCUUGAUCAUUGCUUCAGGCACGGGUGCUUCAUCAGAGUCCUUCCAUCUCUUUCCAGCUGUGAUGGGCAAGGAGGCCUCGCACAGCUGCUCUUGCUGGGCGAGAGUCCACAAUUAAAGGCAUCACUGCUCCCA
rnacentral:sRNA from 1 species